CAACCGUUUAUCCCGCCCCUCGGAUUGAGCCCUGUCAAUUUGGGACAGAGAGGCCGAGUGGACUGGUUAUAUUAAACUUUGAGUUUAAAGUUGAAUCCCGAAGCACAUUGUGGAGGACUUCGCGGUGCUCAAGACUCCCAGAACAUCUUCAGACGGGCUGCUGUGAUGAUGAUGACUCAGUUUCCCCACAGCGAACCAUUAUUAAACUGCUCCUGCAGCCACUCCUGAGCUGAUGAGCUGUCUGCUGCUAGUGCUAACUGCACUUUCACACACAAAACAAAGAAAGUGAACAUGUUACCUUUCGCACCAUGCCCUCCGACUUCUGGACAUUGAAGUUUCUGGCUAAAAAAGAAGUUGUCGUUUCAGGAAAUAGAGUGCGUCCCGCUUCCUCCCCUUCUGGUCUUCUUCCCCCUGGUCACGCCCUCGGACCUGGGGUCAUCUGCAAUUGGCUGUCGAUGGUUCCUCUGCUCAUUCACCACCACCAGUGUCUGGACUCCAUCGGGGGAUAUGUUUGGGUUUCCUUAAACCCUUUAGGACAUUUGGGUUCGAUGGAGUCCAAUCUCCAGAGACUUGUACAUUUACAUGUUUGUCUGUACAAUAAAUAUGUUCAUAAUUGCAAGGAAGUCUCUCCUGAUUGAACUAGUGAUCCUGCCUGAUCCUGUCUUAUUGUUUUGUCUGUUGGCACCUUUUUCCAACAAGGGCAAUAGUGUCAAAAACAUCGUAUAAACGUCUUAAGACAACCAACAGAAUAGGUGUCGAUGGAAGCAACCAGUAGAUUAGUAAAAUGUGGUGUGCAAAUGUAAAAAAUAAAUAUCACCAAUUGCACAAGA